UACGAAGGGGGCUAGCGUUGCUCGGAAUUACUGGGCGUAAAGGGAGCGUAGGCGGACAUUUAAGUCAGAGGUGAAAUCCCGGAGCUUAACUUCGGAACUGCCUUUGAUACUGGGUGUCUUGAGUGUGAGAGAGGUAUGUGGAACUCCGAGUGUAGAGGUGAAAUUCGUAGAUAUUCGGAAGAACACCAGUGGCGAAGGCGACAUACUGGCUCAUUACUGACGCUGGAGGUGACGAAAGCGUGGGGAGCAAACAGG
rnacentral:rRNA from 1 species